rnacentral:tRNA from 1 species
GGAGAGGUGUCCGAGUGGUUGAAGGAGCACGCUUGGAAAGCGUGUGGGUGCAGAAAUGUGUCUCCAGGGUUCGAAUCCCUGCCUCUCCG